rnacentral:rRNA from 1 species
GAUGAACGCUGGCGGCGUGCCUAAUACAUGCAAGUCGAGCGAACAGGCGAGGAGCUUGCUCCUCUGACGUUAGCGGCGGACGGGUGAGUAACACGCGGAUAACCUACCUAUAAGACUGGGAUAACUUCGGGAAACCGGAGCUAAUACCGGAUAAUAUAUUGAACCGCAUGGUUCAAUAGUGAAAGACGGUUUUGCUGUCACUUAUAGAUGGAUCCGCGCCGCAUUAGCUAGUUGGUAAGGUAACGGCUUGCCAAGGCAACGAUGCGUAGCCGACCUGAGAGGGUGAUCGGCCACCCUGGAGCUGAGACACGGUCCAGACUCCUACGGGAGGCAGCAGUAGGGAAUCUUCCGCAAUGGGCGAAAGCCUGACGGAGCAACGCCGCGUGAGUGAUGAAGGUCUUCGGAUCGUAAAACUCUGUUAUUAGGGAAGAACAAAUGUGUAAGUAACUAUGCACGUCUUGACGGUACCUAAUCAGAAAGCCACGGCUAACUACGUG